rnacentral:rRNA from 1 species
AUUGAACGCUGGCGGCAUGCCUUACACAUGCAAGUCGAACGGCAGCACGGGAGCAAUCCUGGUGGCGAGUGGCGAACGGGUGAGUAAUAUAUCGGAACGUGCCCAGUCGUGGGGAUAACGUAGCGAAAGCUACGCUAAUACCGCAUACGAUCUAUGGAUGAAAGCGGGGGAUCGCAAGACCUCGCGCGAUUGGAGCGGCCGAUAUCAGAUUAGGUAGUUGGUGAGGUAAAGGCUCACCAAGCCGACGAUCUGUAGCUGGUCUGAGAGGACGACCAGCCACACUGGGACUGAGACACGGCCCAGACUCCUACGGAGGCAGCAGUGGGGAAUUUUGGACAAUGGGCGCAAGCCUGAUCCAGCAAUGCCGCGUGCAGGA